rnacentral:rRNA from 1 species
GAAAUGACUGCUAAUACCGCAUAAGCGCACAGGACCGCAUGGUCCGGUGUGAAAAACUCCGGUGGUACAGGAUGGACCCGCGUCUGAUUAGGUAGUUGGCGGGGUAACGGCCCACCAAGCCGACGAUCAGUAGCCGACCUGAGAGGGUGACCGGCCACAUUGGGACUGAGACACGGCCCAAACUCCUACGGGAGGCAGCAGUGGGGAAUAUUGCACAAUGGGGGAAACCCUGAUGCAGCGACGCCGCGUGAGUGAAGGAGUAUUUCGGUAUGUAAAGCUCUAUCAGCAGGGAAGAAAAUGACGGUACCUGACUAAGAAGCCCCGGCUAACUACGUGCCAGCAGCCGCGGUAAUACGUAGGGGGCAAGCGUUAUCCGGAUUUACUGGGUGUAAAGGGAGCGUAGACGGCAGAGCAAGUCUGAAGUGAAAGCCCGCGGCCCAACUGCGGGACUGCUUUGGAAACUGCCCGGCUAGAGUGCUGGAGAGGUAAGCGGAAUUCCUAGUGUAGCGGUGAAAUGCGUAGAUAUUAGGAGGAACACCAGUGGCGAAGGCGGCUUACUGGACAGUAACUGACGUUGAGGCUCGAAAGCGUGGGGAGCAAACAGGAUUAGAUACCCUGGUAGUCC